UUGAUAGAGGUUGCGUGAGUUAUCAGUAGACUGUGGGAUGCAGCAGAUGCAGGAGAACACAGUAGAAAGGAAUGAACGCCGAAGGAAGAGAUAUUCUGUAGAUCGAAUCCUGGGCAUAAGGCGAACAGCUUUAUGACUGUCAUCGACUGAGAUGGGGAGCUAUCAG
rnacentral:ncRNA from 1 species